rnacentral:lncRNA from 1 species
CUUAUUUUCGUAUGAUGUAAGAUGUUUUAAAAUUCUAUAGUUUCAUUUUUCUCAUUCAUUCUAAAUUGUCUCGAUUAUAGUUUUUGACAUAUAUAUUUAUGUACUUUUGAUAUUUGUUUUUUUUAGUUGGAAUUCUAUAUUUUUUUUCUUUCUUUGCGUUUGAAAGACUAAGAGCAAGUCAGUUUUGUUACAUGGAGUUUGGAAUUAUGAAUUAAAUAUUCUGAAUUACUUCUGUAGUUAUUUUCCGUGUAUGUUUAAUUAUUGUUUAAUCUAUAAGAAAACUAUGCUUUGAUAUUAAGUUUAGAGAGUUGCAUAUAUAAUCAUGUUAUGAAACGGCUAAAAUAGAUAUAUUUUUAAUUAAUAAUUAGAUUUAUCAUUAUAUAAUUAACCAU